ensembl:lncRNA
CAGUGCCUUUGCAAAGAUUUAAGUGCGGUGGGGGGCGUUCCCUUAGAGACCGUGACAUCACACCCUACCUUCCCAGGGUGAGAAGGCGAGCUCUCACAGAUUGCACCUCUCUACUCAUUUUCCUGGAUUCAGGAUCCACAGACCUGUGUACAACACGUAAAGGGGACAACAAAGCGAGAGGUGCCCGGGUGCUUUUCCUUGCAAACCUGCGAGGAGCCGGUCACUCUUGUCUGACUGCUACAGCAGCUCACAAGGGUGCACCAGUUUGAUCCCUGGUCUGGAAAGAUCCCACAUGCCAUGAGCCACAGCUACAGAAGCCCGCGUCGCCUAGAGCCCACACACCACACCUAGAGGAGCCACCGCGUGGGAAGGCCGUGCACUGCAGCUAGAGAAAGCCUGCCCGGCAACCAGGACCCAGGCAGACAAAAAAUUCUCCAGUUGCGUCCCGUGACUUUCCUGCUGACCUCCUGAUUCCCUACUGUGACCUGCAAGACGCACCCUCACCCUACUCCCUACUCCCGUUCUGGCCUGACCCUGACCUCACCUGGAAUCCACCUGCUCGCCCAGCACGGCCUCAUGUCGGCCUUCCCGGCCUUUCAAGCUCUCCUCCAGCUGCGGGGCGAGCUGUCCCCUCUGCCUAGGGUGUCCCCCACCUCUGUCUGCACAGGCGGCUCCUUCACGUCAUCCGUGCUCCUCUUCAAAGGCCACUGCCCACAGAACACUUCCUUCUAGACAGACACUUAUGUAUUGACUUAUCUAAGUUGACGUCUGGUUUUGCUUUCUGUUCGUUGAAUGUAAUACUUUCAGAACAUCUCUCAUUUUACUACACUCUUCUAUUAUAUGUCUCCUCCCACCAGCACAUAGACUCAUACUUUUCUCCCCAUGCUUAGAACACUGUGUUGCAUAAAACAGGCGCGCAUAUAUUUGCUGAAUGAAUGAAUGCAUAAAUAACUAUAAAUAUAAUAAAGUAUAAAAAUAGUUUAUUUGAGGGGAAUCACCUAAGUUUAUCAAUAAAAAAAUUAUUAAAGUCGUUCCAUAGUGAAGACAAUAGAGAAACUAUUGUAUAGCUAAAAGCUAAAGUCACUGUACUGAUUAACUAAAAUAUAUUGCUAUUGAAUGUUCAGUGAACUAUCUACGAUUCUAAUGUGUCUGAAAUUAGUAGUGAUUAUGGUUCCAAGUUUGAGCCCCAGUGUUCUAAGUAUAGUGUAAGAUAACCAUGAAGUAUAUUCAUUUACACAGGAAUUUGUUGAGAAAACAAAAUUGAAUAAAAUGCCCAAAUGUGACAGUGAUAAAUGUAAAAUAAAGACUAAUCAAUGAGCUUGUGAUUAUAUGUUCGCUCCUUCUUUCUAAGUUGUAAGCAUGUGCUUUUAUAAUUGUUCAAGGCCAGUCAUGUAAAGUAACAAAAAGUAUAUCUAUAUUUUUGUCACUUAAAGAUAUUUCUUGGCACAUUAAAAAUGUCAAUUUCUAUUUCAACUUACUGAAGAAAAAUCUAUGAAGGAAUGAAAGUUAUAGAUGGCAGAAUCGAAUCUUCUAAAUUGCAUUGUUAUUAAAUAAGCCCAGAAUACACACCAUAUU